GUGGGGAAUAUUGCGCAAUGGGCGGAAGCCUGACGCAGCGACGCCGCGUGGGGGAUGACGGCCUUCGGGUUGUAAACCUCUUUCAGUAGGGACGAAGCGGAAGUGACGGUACCUACAGAAGAAGCACCGGCCAACUACGUGCCAGCAGCCGCGGUAAUACGUAGGGUGCAAGCGUUGUCCGGAAUUAUUGGGCGUAAAGAGCUCGUAGGCGGUUCGUCACGUCGGCUGUGAAAUCCCGAGGCUCAACCUCGGGUCUGCAGUCGAUACGGGCGGACUUGAGUACUGCAGGGGAGACUGGAAUUCCUGGUGUAGCGGUGAAAUGCGCAGAUAUCAGGAGGAACACCGGUGGCGAAGGCGGGUCUCUGGGCAGUAACUGACGCUGAGGAGCGAAAGCGUGGGGAGCGAACAGG
rnacentral:rRNA from 1 species